ACAGGCCAAUGCUUUUAAUUUCAUAGCAAGCUCGCUUGCUAUGAAAUAGGCAACCAGUAAUAUAAGCAAGUGUGCGCUAUUUAUAGCGCUAGCCAACAAACCUAUAAUUAUAUUAACUCUAAGAGAAAUUUAAUAAUAAACGAAGUGAAUUGAAAUAUCUUAGUAACUUUAGGAAAAGAAAUCAAAAGAGAUUCUAUGAUUAGCGUGAGCUAAAAUAGACUAGCCUAAAAAGUCAAAUGGUGGAUAAACUGUUUAAAUUAAAUGGGGAACCUUCCUCAAAGGCUAAAUAUAAUGUAUAAGCGAUAGUGGAAAGUACCGUGAGGGAACCAAAACAAAAACAGUGAUUUUAUAAGCAGUUCGGGAAAAAUAAAAAAAGUUAGAACGUACCUUUUGCAUAAUGGGUCACCAAGUUAACAUUAGAUGCGAGUAGGAGGCUUUGCCUAUGCAUACGUAGUUAAACCGAGCGUUAAAAUAACGGUAAGUAUCUAAAGUUAGACCCGAAGCCUGGUGAUUUUACCAUAAUCAGGAUUAUAAAAGUCCGAACGGAAUAUUGUAGCAUAAAUAUCCGAAGAAUUAUGGUAGGUGUAGUGAAAGACAAUACUGACCAGGAUAGCUGGUUUUCUGCGAAACCUAUAACAGUAGGCAAUUUAAGUAUAAUAUCUUAGCAGGUACAGAAUUUAAUCUCAGACAAGACAUAAGGCUUAGCUUGCUAGCAAGUAAAGCUCAUGUUUUAUUUUGUACAAAUUGGGGGAUCAUGAAGAUUUUAUCAGUGAGUAUGUAGACUCGGAAUGGCAAAGAUAUAUCUUAAAUCAUCAGACAUAGAAUGAUAAGGUUGUAUGUCAAAAGGGAAACAGCCCAGAACAAGAGUUAAGGUUCCUAAAUUAUUAGUUGAGUGAAAUUAAGAAGGUUUUUAUUAAAGUCGACAAGGAGAUAGGCUUAGAAGCAGCCAUAAUUUUAUGACCUCGUAACAGAGCGCUUGUUAAGUUUUAAAAGCAUCGAAAAUUUAUCGGAUCUAAACAAUAUACCGAAACCUUGUCCAUAUUAUUUUAUAAUUAAAGCUUAAUUAUAAUUAAAUGGGGUAGCAGAACGUUGAGCUAAAUUAAGAUUUUUAUUUUUUAAAUGAAAUUAUAAUAAUUUAACUCAAGUGAUAAUGGUGACAUGAGUAACUAAAAGAAAAAAUAAAAUUUUUCCGCCUAAAGCUUAUGGAUGUAAUUAAGUAACGGCCUCUAAGUUUAUAUUAUCUAAAGAUUUAAACGAUGAGAUAAUCUUUUGUACUAAGGACGACAUUUUAAGUGAAAAAUGUACUGGAAAAAUAGUACUAAAUUAAUGGCUAUAGCUAAUUAGUUAGCUAUAGCUAUAAAUGAAAAGUAACCGUACCUAGAAUCUGAAACAAGUAAGCUAGUAGAGAAUACGAAGGCGUAAAUGAGCUAACAAUCAUAAAGGAACUCGGCAAAUUGACUACCGUAACUUCGGGAUAAGGAGAGCUCAUUAUUCUUGAUUAAUAUCAGGUAAAGAGGAAGAAGCAUGAAAUAGUGUUGUACGACUGUUUAAUUAAAACACAGCACUUUGCUGAAAGAUUAAAAAUCUAAGUAUAGAGUGUGAUGUCUGCCCGGUGCCGGCUGGUUAACAGAUAUAAUUAAGUAUACUAAUAUUUGAUGUAGACGGAAACCCCGGUUAAAGGCGGCCUUAACGUGAGGGUCCUAAGGUAGCGAAAUGCCUUGGCCGUUAAAUGCGGUCUUGCAUGAAUGAUGUAACGAUACAACAGCUGUCUCUAUGAUUGACUCAGUGAAAUUGGAAUAGCUGUGCAGAUACAGUUUACCUCUAGUUAGACGAGAAGACCCUAUGCAGCUUUACUGUCACUAAUUAUAGAGUAUGAUAAACAAUUUUCAGAUUAUAAGGUAAUUGACGGCUAGCUUGUUUAGCAAGCUAGCUCUAUGACAAUGAGAAUCCUUUAUUUUUUUUUCAUAUGAAUGAAUUGGUUUAGGAUUAUGAGUAGGUAGCUGCUUCUGCUACUUGGCGCAAGCAUUGCUAGCGUCAGGUGUCUGAAGUAUGCAUUCCAGCUCAUGCAUAGUAAAUCAACCUAAUUCAGCUUAUUUUCCUUUCUGCCAUAAGCGCAUAAUGAUAGAUUUAACUUAAAUUUUGAUUUAUGCCAGCUGCAGAAAUAGAUAAGUACCCUUGGCUAAGGAACUAUCGCUAGGGGACAGUUUAUGUGGGGCACAGACCCUGUAAAGAGUAAACAGGAGUGUCUAAUAAUUUAUAAUUAUUUUGUUUGCGAUUUAAGAUAGUGAAACUAUUUUUAAUCAUAUAAAAUUAUUUAUAUGUACAUUCGUUGUAUAUAUAUUUAAAAAAAGGUAGGAUUUUCACUAUAUAGAAAUUAGAGAUAAUAAAAAUAUUAAGAAUAUACGUUUCAGGCGGGGGGCAAACUCCCUUUGAAACGUAGCACUAAUAUUUUUUAGCUAUUAAGACAGGCUAUCAAGCUAGGCUCUAAUAGUUAUGUAUUAAUUAUCUAAAAAGCUCAACGGCUAAAUCUUGCCUUACUGUUUGAUUAUCAACAAAUCU
rnacentral:rRNA from 1 species